rnacentral:rRNA from 1 species
UGGCCUUGACAUACUAAGAACUUUCCAGAGAUGGAUUGGUGCCUUCGGGAACUUAGAUACAGGUGCUGCAUGGCUGUCGUCAGCUCGUGUCGUGAGAUGUUGGGUUAAGUCCGCAACGAGCGCAACCCUUUUCCUUAUUUGCCAGCGGGUCAUGCCGGGAACUUUAAGGAUACCGCCAGUGACAAACUGGAGGAAGGCGGGGACGACGUCAAGUCAUCAUGGCCCUUACGGCCAGGGCUACACACGUGCUACAAUGGUCGGUACAAAGGGUUGCUACCUCGCGAGAGGAUGCUAAUCUCAAAAAGCCGAUCGUAGUCCGGAUCGCAGUCUGCAACUCGACUGCGUGAAGUCGGAAUCGCUAGUAAUCGCGGAUCAGAAUGCCGCGGUGAAUACGUUCCCGGGCCUUGUACACACCGCCCGUCACACCAUGGGAGUUUGUUGCACCAGAAGUAGGUAGUCUAACCGCAAGGAGGACGCUUACCACGGUGUGGCCGAUGACUGGGGUGAAGUCGUAACAAGGUAGGCGUAGAUGA